rnacentral:rRNA from 1 species
UACGUAGGGUGCAAGCGUUGUCCGGAAUUAUUGGGCGUAAAGAGCUCGUAGGCGGUUUGUCGCGUCUGCUGUGAAAACUCGGGGCUCAACUCCGAGCUUGCAGUGGGUACGGGCAGACUAGAGUGCGGUAGGGGAGACUGGAAUUCCUGGUGUAGCGGUGGAAUGCGUAGAUAUCAAGAGGAACACCUGAGGUGAAGACGGGUUGCUGGGCCAACACUGACGCUGAGGCGCGAAAGCCAGGGGAGCAAACGGG